CGGCUGGUAAUGGCAUAUACCCUCCCACAAAGAACAAUUUGGUUCUUCGUCCAUAGUAACAUAGCAGAUAUAGUUACCCCUAAUACUUCCUCUCCCAUCUCCUCCAUCAACUCUCCAUCCAAUCACUUACCUUUUUGGAUAUUUAGCACAACAUUCUAAUGUAAUGAGACAUUUCGUAAAUUUGUUUUCCAAAACGUUAUAAAAAUUGUCGGUUUAUUUAUGUAAAUUAACAAUGAAAAUAAUAAACUGAAAUAAAGCAACAGAAAAUUUACAAAUAAAAAACAAAUUUUAAUUUAAUUUAGGAAUAAACCGUCGUGGCUUUAAUGUUGCAGCUUUACUUCCUCCACAGGUUCGGCAGCCAGGUUGUUUCGCCUUCUGACGACCGUACAAAUGAUCUAUAGGGGGCUGCUACGACUUUUAUUUAUAUGAAUGUUCGGAUGUCAAACUUUGACUUAUACCGGGUAAGGAACCUAACCUGAGCUCAAAUUACUUUCCUACAACGCGCACCUUAUUCAUUGCAAUAAGGGAAUUGGAUUCUCCUACAGCCAUACAGCUACAUAUAUGUUCCCUUAAAACUUGGUCAGUCUUAUCCGAGUCCGGCGAAUACCUGGAAUCUCUUCGGGCGGUAAUGGAAGACGAUUGCGGAUGUUGUUUCCGUCGUUGGAUGUGGCAGAGGUGGCUUGGAUAAUACGUUUUUUUUACUAUCUUUUAUUUAAAUACUUAAUUUGAUUCAGAUUUAAAAUCUUCAUUCGUUAGCGUUCUUAUUAGCUUUUAGUUUGUACUUUUUAAACUCUCUCUUUUAAUUUUUUGUUUGCUUUUUUUUCUUUUUUUUUCAAACUUUACAUACUUAUUUCCGUUUUAAGUUUUGCUUUUUAUUAAUUUUAGCUUUCAGUUUCAAAGCUAAACUUGUAAUUCUUUGUUUAUCUUAGUUUUAAGUUUUAACUUUUUUUGUAAGUUUUAACAUUUAUUCGUUUCAGUUUUUAGAUUUUUUACUUUAAAUUACUUAUUCGUUUAAAUUUUAUGUUUUAAC